rnacentral:rRNA from 1 species
ACUCCUACGGGAGGCAGCAGUGGGGAAUAUUGCACAAUGGGCGCAAGCCUGAUGCAGCAACGCCGCGUGAGGGAUGACGGCCUUCGGGUUGUAAACCUCUUUUAGCAGGGAAGAAGCGAAAGUGACGGUACCUGCAGAAAAGCGCCGGCUAACUACGUGCCAGCAGCCGCGGUAAUACGUAGGGCGCAAGCGUUAUCCGGAAUUAUUGGGCGUAAAGAGCUCGUAGGCGGUUUGUCGCGUCUGCUGUGAAAUCCCGAGGCUCAACCUCGGGUCUGCAGUGGGGUACGGGCAGACUAGAGUGCGGUAGGGGAGAUUGGAAUUCCUGGUGGUGCAGGUCGGGAAUUGG